UACGUAGGGUGCGAGCGUUAUUCGGAAUUACUGGGCGUAAAGCGUGCGUAGGCGGUUUUUUAAGUCAGAUGUGAAAUCCCCGGGCUUAACCUGGGAAUGGCAUUUGGGACUGCAAGGCUCGAGUGCGGCAGAGGAGACUGGAAUUCCUGGUGUAGCAGUGAAAUGCGUAGAUAUCAGGAGGAACACCGAUGGCUAAGGCAGGUCUCUGGGCUGAAACUGACGCUCAUGCACGAAAGCGUGGGGAGCAAACAGG
rnacentral:rRNA from 1 species